CGGGCGAUGCUGGGGGCUUUCCGGUCGGGGCCGCAGCCGCUUCCGGAGCCGCGGGCGAGGUGCAAGCGGUCUUCUCUGUCUUCUUUAUGGCCAGUAAAAUUCUCCAGAAGAGAUUUAUGGCAGCCUCACUCCCAGUAGUUUCUGCAUUUAGUGAGAUAAGAUGGAAUCUUGCUCUCUUGCUCAGACUGGAGUGCAGUGGCAUGACCUUGGCUCACUGCAACCUCACCUCUCGGGUUCAAGCGAUUCUGCCUCAGCCUCUCGAGUAGCUGGGACUACAGGUGGGAGACCUCCACAGAACCCUUCCAGCAAGCUGUCUUCUAAAGCAAACAAGAAAAGGAAAGUCUGAGCAGUUUUGAUUAGAUUUCCCAGAAGUCAAAGCAAGGAAAAAUGAAAAAGCUUCAUUUCUCACGUUCUUAAAAGAGAGCACAGAUGUUGCAUCAUCUGGUUAGAUACCCUGAGAAUAAAAUCUGGAUCCAGUGAGAGGAAAGAUUCUG
rnacentral:lncRNA from 1 species